rnacentral:pre_miRNA from 1 species
UCUCUAAAUGAUCCAGUUAUGUUUACGGAAAUAGUAAACAUCACUGGAGCGUUUCGGGUUA